rnacentral:misc_RNA from 1 species
UCUUGUGGGGCUGCUCCUGAUGUGUCUUUUGAUGGGGUUCGGCUGGAAGAGCAGGUUCAGAAUACUUCUUCAUCCUCUGACCAGAAAUUACUGGGUGAUAGAACCUUGAAGCUGUUGUCUGGAUCAUGUUACUUGCCACACCCAGACAAGGAGGAAACUGGAGGGGAGGAUGCUCAUUUUAUCUGUGUCGAUGAACAGGCCAUUGGCGUAG